rnacentral:rRNA from 1 species
AUUGAACGCUGGCGGUAGGCUUAACACAUGCAAGUCGAGCGAGCGGCGGACGGGUGAGUAAUGUAUGGGGACUGCCCGAUAGCGGGGGAUAACUACUGGAAACGGUGGCUAAUACCGCAUACUAUCGGAUAACCCAUAUGGGAUUAGCUAGUGGGUGGGGUAAAGGCUCACCAAGGCGACGAUCUCUAGCUGGUCUGUGAGGAUGAUCAGCCACACGGGGACUGAGACACGGCCCAGACUCCUACGGAGGCAGCAGUGGGUAAUCUUGCACAAUGGGGGCAACCCUGAUGCAGCCAUGCCGCGUGUAUGAUGAAGGCCUUAGGGUUGUAAAGUACGUUUGGCAGGGAGGCGUUAUCCGCAGAAGAAGCACCGGCUAACUCCGUGCCAGCCGCCGCGGUAAUUC